rnacentral:misc_RNA from 1 species
UGGCUCUCGCAUCGAUGAAGAACGCAGCGAAAUGCGAUAAGUAAUGUGAAUUGCAAUUCAGUGAAUCAUCGAAUCUUUGAACGCACCUUGCGCUCCUUGGAAUUCCGAGGAGCAUGCCUGUUUGAGCGUCACGUUAAACACCUCACCAGAACCUUUUUUUGAGGCGACCGGUGGAUUUGGACAGUGCCGUCGUUGGCUCGUCCUGAAAUGCAUUAGCCUCCCACUUCUGGACAUUUCUUGGUGUGAUAAACAUCUACACCUUUUGAACCGUCGGGGAGAGCUCACAAAAACCACAAUCAUAUUAAUGCUUUGACCUCAAAUCAGGUAGGACUACCCGCUGA